rnacentral:rRNA from 1 species
AAAGAAGCAAAAUAAGGGCGCAUGGUGGAUGCCUAGGCUCUCAGAGGCGAAGAAGGACGUGAUAAGCUGCGAAAAGCUGCGUAGAGGUGCAAAUAACCAUUGACACGCAGAUAUCCGAAUGGGGCAACCCAUCCCGAUUUAUCGGGAUAUUCCGCAAGGAAAGCUAACCCGGUGAACUGAAACAUCUAAGUAACCGGAGGAAAAGAAAACAAUAGUGAUUUCCCAAGUAGUGGCGAGCGAACGGGAAAAAGCCUAAACCAUUUAUGUUUCGGCAUAGAUGGGGUUGCAGGACUACAAUAUAAGAAGGUAAUUGAAGUGGAACGUUUUGGAAAGAACGGCCGUAGAGUGUGAAAGUCACGUACACGUAAGAGAACUGGAUUUAGUAGUAUCCUAAGUAGGUCGGGACACGAGAAACCCUGACUGAAUCCGGCGGGACCAUCCGCCAAGGCUAAAUACUCCUGAGAGACCGAUAGUGAACCAGUACCGUGAGGGAAAGGUGAAAAGCACUUCGAACAGAAGAGUGAAAUAGUACCUGAAACCGUGCGCUUACAAGCGGUCGGAGCAUCUAUAAGGUGUGACGGCGUGCCUUUUGCAUAAUGAGCCUACGAGUUGUCGAUAUUAGCGAGGUUAAUGAGUUCAGCUCAGCAACCGAAGCGAAAGCGAGUCUGAAUAGGGCGAUUUAGUUAAUGUUGGCAGACGCGAAACCAGAGUGAUCUAUCCUUGACCAGGUUGAAGUGACGGUGAAACGUCAUGGAGGACCGAACCAGGAAACGUUGAAAAGUUUUUGGAUGAGUUGAGGAUAGGGGUGAAAGGCCAAUCAAACCUGGAAAUAUCUCGUACUCCCCGAAAUGCAUUUAGGUGCAGCCAUGUUUUAGUGUAAUAGAGGUAGAGCUACUGAUAAGGCUAGGGGGCUUCACCGCCUACCAACCCUUGAUAAACUCCGAAUGCUAUUACAUGAUUGACAUGAGUGAGGCUAUGGGUGCUAAGGUCCAUAGCCUAAAGGGAAAGAACCCGGACCAUCAGCUAAGGUCCCUAAAUAUAGUCUAAGUUGAACAAACGCGGUCUGAUAGCAGAGACAGCUAGGAUGUUGGCUUGGAAGCAGCCAUUCAUUUAACGAGUGCGUAACAGCUCACUAGUCGAGCCGUCGGGCAUGGAUGAUAAUCGGGCAUAAGACUAUUACCGAAGCUAUGGGUUUAAUACUAUCGUAUUGAGCGGUAGGGGAGCAUUCCAACGACGCAGAAGCAGUGCUGCGAGGCAUUGUGGAGUUUUUGGAAAAGCAAAUGUAGGCAUAAGUAACGACAAAUACAGUGAGAAACUGUAUCGCCGCAAGACUAAGGAUUCCUGAUCAACGCUAAUCGGAUCAGGGUUAGUCGGGACCUAAGGCGUACCCGAAGGGGGCAGCCGAUGGCAAACUGGUUAAUAUUCCAGUACCACCUAUACAAUAAAAGUGACGGAGAGAUCAGAUAUCUACGUGGUGACGGACAUCCACGUUGAGCCUAGGCUUCGGCCGAAGCGAAGAUAAGCAGUUUCUUCCAAGAAAAGCGAGUAUAGGGCCCGUACCGUAAACCGACACAGGUAGUCGAGGAGAGUAUCCUAAGGCGCUCGAGUGAUUCAUGGCUAAGGAACUAGGCAAAAUAGACCUGUAACUUCGGGAGAAAGGUCUCCCACAGUAAUGUGGGACGCAGUGAAAAGACCCAAACGACUGUUUACCAAAAACACAGGGCUCUGCAAAAUCGAAAGAUUAAGUAUAGGGCCUGACACCUGCCCGGUGCCGGAAGGUUAAGAGGAGGCGUCAUCUUCGGAGAAGCGUUGAAUUGAAGCCCCGGUAAACGGCGGCCGUAACUAUAACGGUCCUAAGGUAGCGAAAUUCCUUGUCGGGUAAGUUCCGACCUGCACGAAUGGUGUAACGAUUUGGGUACUGUCUCAGCCAUGAGCUCGGUGAAAUUGAAGUAUCGGUGAAGAUGCCGGUUACCCGCAACGGGACGGAAAGACCCCGUGAACCUUUACUAUAACUUAUCAUUGGUUUUGGCUAAACGAUGUGUAGGAUAGGUCGGAGACAUUGAAGCGGCUUCGCUAGGAGUUGUGGAGUCAACCUUGAAAUACGACCCUUUGUUUAGUUGGAAUCUAACCCUGAGCAAUCUGGGGACAGUGGUAGGCGGGUAGUUUGACUGGGGUGGUCGCCUCCAAAAGCGUAACGGAGGCUUUCAAAGGUUCCCUCAGCAUGUUUGGUAAUCAUGCGUAGCGUGUAAUGGCACAAGGGAGCUUUACUGUGAGACUGACAAGUCGACCAGGUACGAAAGUAGGACAUAGUGAUCCGGCGGUAGAUAAUGGAAUUGCCGUCGCUCAAAGGAUAAAAGGUACUCCGGGGAUAACAGGCUUAUCGCCCCCAAGAGCUCAUAUCGACGGGGCGGUUUGGCACCUCGAUGUCGGCUCGUCACAUCCUGGGGCUGGAGAAGGUCCCAAGGGUUGGGCUGUUCGCCCAUUAAAGUGGCACGCGAGCUGGGUUCAGAACGUCGUGAGACAGUUCGGUCCCUAUCUGUUGUGGGCGUAGGAAACUUGCGAGGGCCUGACACUAGUACGAGAGGACCGUGUUGGACGAACCACUGGUUUACCUGUUGUGGCGCCAGCUGCAUCGCAGGGUAGCUAAGUUCGGAAGAGAUAAGUGCUGAAAGCAUCUAAGCACGAAGCUCGCCUCAAGAUAAGGUUUCCAUUGAGGGUCGUUGGAGAUUACGACGUUGAUAGGCUACAGGUGUAAAGGCGGUAACGUCAAAGCCGAGUAGUACUAAUUACCCGAAAGCUUCUUUA